UACGGAGGGAGCUAGCGUUGUUCGGAAUUACUGGGCGUAAAGCGCGCGUAGGCGGCUUUGUAAGUUAGAGGUGAAAGCCCGGGGCUCAACCCCGGAACUGCCUUUAAGACUGCAUCGCUUGAAUCCAGGAGAGGUGAGUGGAAUUCCGAGUGUAGAGGUGAAAUUCGUAGAUAUUCGGAAGAACACCAGUGGCGAAGGCGGCUCACUGGACUGGUAUUGACGCUGAUGUGCGAAAGCGUGGGGAGCAAACGGG
rnacentral:rRNA from 1 species